rnacentral:lncRNA from 1 species
AGGUCAAGCGCGAGAGUAAGAACUAUUCAAGAAGUCACAGUACUUAGCAAAACUUUGCUAUCAGGUGGGCAAUUUCUUACGCGUAAAUAAAAUGCUAUGCAAGUGUUAUGCUUUAAAAUGCAAAUUGGAUCUUCAAGUAUGGUAUGCUUUAUUACGCUUAAAUGAGUUAAGCUUUAUUAUGAUGCACAUUAAAUGAUUACGCUUAUUUACGCUUGAAUGCUUUACGCUGAUAAGUUUAUGCUUAUGUUUGAUGCUUGCGUCUGUUGGGGGAGGCCUCCCUCAACAGUACGAUGCCGUGUCCGCUGAGGAGGGCCUUCCUCACGGCGCGAUGCCCGUGUCCGCUGAGAGAGGCCUCUCUCGCGGCGCGAUGCCAGUAUGCCAGUAUGCCAGUGUUACAGCGUCUAUUGGGGGAGGCCUCCCUCAAUAGUACGAUGCCGUGACCGCUGAGGGAGGCCCCCUUCACGGAGCGAUGCCCGUGUUCGUUGGGGAAGGCCUUCUCCACGACACGAUGUUUGUUAAUGAAGAUUGAUGAUGAAGAAUGCCCUUAUGCUAUUUAUGAAUUUGGAAAUAUUUAAUGAGCAAAUGAUAUGAAAGAAACUCAUGCCUCUUAUGCGAUGUUGUGUUUUGCUUAUGCGAUAUUGUGAAAUUGUUAAUGUAUGUUAUGUUAUAUGCUUGGCAACUGCCCACUAAGUACUUUGUACUUAGCCCUUCGAUGUUUAUGUUGUGCAGGUUGAGCUGUGAUGGGCGAUGAAGUGUUGUUGCUGAGUGGAGUUUUUGUCGAACUUAAAGUAGGCUCAGAAAGGAUACAUGUCUUCAUACAUGUAUCACAGUUAUGCUUUCCGCUGUAAACACUGAUUAUUUCAGUUACGCCUUCCGUUGCAAACUCUGAUAAUGUUUUAGCCAAGCCCCUAAAUGCCUUUUUCCUUUUAAGGAAUAUAACGCGUAUACAAGUUCUUUGAGUACCCUUUUUAUGCGAACUAUGCCUUUUUCCUUUUUAAGGAAUAUUUCACGCGUAUUCAAGCUCUUUGAGUAUUCUUUUAUGCACCCCUUUCUAAACCCGCUUCUUAAUUUCCCUUCCCCAGUCAUGGUUUUCCCGUUAAUUAUCCUAAUUAAGGCCGGUCGUGACAGAGUGGUAUCAGAGCAGUUCGUUUGCUCUGAGCCUAAGAGUUUAUUUAAGCCAAACUUAGAAUGGAUCACUAAAGUGUCUAGAUUCAAUCGACAAAGCUCAGCACUUCAUCGUAUCACACUCAACGAAGCAGAAUGGUAGCUUUCAAGUUUUGAGUUAAUGUUUACAAAAGUGAAAUUAUCGUAUAGCAAAGUGAGUAACUGUUAAUACUAUGUUAUGUUGUUAUUGAAUGAAAUGAUUUACGCAAGCGCGAUUAAGUAUGCCUAUGGAAUGAAUCCCUAUGAACAUAGAGCUAUUAAGUAUGAGAUCACCACUACGACAGAACAUAGAAGCAAACAUAGAAAAAUUAGAUUGUAUCUUUUGGUGGCUAUAGUGAAGGAGCAAGAUAAGUGAUCGUAUAGAAAAAAAAUUUUUAACUAUGAUUUAUAGCCUAUAAAUCUCCAUGACUUAUGCUAAGUAUCCAGUUUAGAUGAUGUGAUAUAUAUGCUUAAGAUUGUAUGACUCAUGAUUUGAGAUGCUAAGGACCCUUAAGCUUACUACAUCAAUGAUCAAUGAUGUCAUUGGAGUAUGACUUGUUUACAAGUUAAUAAGUUACUUACAAGAAUUCUUUGAGGCUUGUAUUAGAUUAUGCUAGAGUGUACUAAUUGGCACAUCUUUGCUAUCAGAAUGCCGCCUAAGAGAGGACGCCCUGCGAGAAACAAUAACAAUCGCAGAAACCGUAACGUGUACCCGAAGAACCACAAGAUCUCGAGGACAUAACCCACCCCUCCGCCCCACUAGGAGAGUCGAAGAACUCUUUUUAAGGCAAACCACCUACGUUUGACGGAACGAGUGAACCGGCUGAAGCUGAGAUUUGGGUGCGUGCAAUGGAACGCAUUUUCAACUUCUACGUUGUACUGAUGAGGAGCGCCUAUCUUGCGUCUCUUCCAGCUAACAGGAUCAGCUGACUUCUGGUGGAAGCACGCGAAAAUUUGACACCUGAACAAUGGGCAAGUUAUACUUGGGAAGAUUUUAAACAGGAUUAUAUGAUAAAUAUAUUCGAAAAGCUAUAGGAAGAAGAAAGAAGCUGAGUUUACGAGUUAAGCAAGGAAAGAAAUCGUGGUUGAAUACGACAAGGAAUUCUGCAACUGUCAGGUUUGCUCCACAACAAGUGACACAGAUGAAGAUGGCAGAGAAAUUUUGUGCCGGCUGCGGUACGAAUAGGAUGGCUAGCAAGCACGGAGGACUCUCAUACACGGAUCUCUGAACAGGGCACUUGACAUUGAAGCUGCAAUGCCGUCGACAAGUCAGCCCCAGUUGAUCUCAACGCCAAAUGAUCACCAGACCUCACAUACUCUAAAGGGAAGCGCAAGUGGGAAACAAGAAGACAAUAUCAAUCAGACUAUAAGAAUGUGGCAAGAAAAGAACGGGCCGAACAGUUUUUCAACCAAGGACGAGGCACAGACUAACUCGAGCCAACUGGAGGUUACAAGUCAGAAGGAAUUUCACCUUGCCCAAAUUGCGGUAAGAUGCAUAGGGUGUUGUCGAGCUGGAACUAACGGUUGUUACAAUUGUGGCAAAAAAGGUACACAACUCCACGCAAUGCCCCUACAUACUAAAGUUCUCAAUUGGGAACAUCCUUACCCCCUUGCCAGCAAUACGUGGACCCUGAAAUAGAUACUACACAGUAAAACCUAUAUAGACAUCACAGUCAGAGUAAGCUACGUGGGAACUAGAAGAUAAGAUGAAGGAAAAAUAACCCGAACUGUUUAAGCAGAGAAUGCAAAUUUCGGGACGAAAUUUUGUUAAGAGGGGUAGUAUGUAGUAGCCCGCUCUUUUAAUUAUGAUUAAAACUAGUAAAUGCAAUUUUUAUAAAUGAAUCCAGUUUAUGGUCCUGAUUUUUUUUAUCAGAGACGGAGUUAUUAUUUUAGCUUUAUACUUUUAUAAUGUAUGAGAAAAACGUGACGAGAAUUAUUGAGCCAUUCAAUAAUUAUUAUUUCCAAGUUAUAACUGACUUAGCAAAGUCAUGUUAUUUAUUAAUCGAAAAACAGAAGCAGUUAUAUUUUAUUAGUGCUACUAAAAGUCGAGGAUUUAUUCCGACUGCAACGCAGAUUAAAUCUACGGAUUUAAUUUAAGUUAUAUUACAGUUUAUCAAGUUAGCAGGCAAGGAAAAAGAUAUCAAGCUAGAUGAUUUUUAUUAGUAACUUCAAUACUUUACAAUCAUCAUUAUUCUUUCCACUCCCUAAUGUCUCCUACACUAUCAACAUACCAUAGCAUAAUUUAGACCUCAAGCAUGAAGCAUGUAUAUACGUUGACCACAUGAGUAACAUCAUAAGCCUCUUUCAUACAUAGCAUAAUCAAUCAAGAAGACAACCAAAUCAAUUAGCAAAAGCAAAAGCUCUUCAAUCACCAACUCCACUCCACCAACUCCACUCAAUUAUUCAUUCCCUUUAUACUAUCAGCCACCACCCUUUGCUCCCCACCCAACAAAUGCAAUCAGCCAACAAAUACAGUUUUCACUCUCAACUCAUCUCAUCCAAAAGAGAAUCAAAGAAUAGCCCAGCUCAUUCAGCCGAAGCUCACAAGGUAAGGCUGGGCUUCAAUGAUUUCAUUCCAUUUGAUUAGCACCUGCAUUAACACAAGAAUCAUUCAUUUCCUCUUUGCCAGGAACCUUAAGUUCAGUUACUCCAGUUCAACAAACAACAAUAUUUAACCAACAACACAUUUCAAGGUAUUGAUUCUAUUUCAAAUACCAUUCCAGUAAGCAUUCAUAUUAAAGCAUGAGCACGAUCAGUUUCAGUUUUAAUUAUAGAAGACCUUAUAGACAUCUUGAACUUAGUAAACACCCAACUAUGCGAUUGAGCAAGUGACAGUCUUAUGUAGUUUUAAUCGAGCACAAAUUGAGAUGUAAGCAAAACAAAGAGAGAUUACACCUCGUCCAGUUCACAUUUACGAAUCGUUUAAGUCGAAAUGAGGGAGUUACUUAGCUUUAAAGGAGAGAAGGGCUGACUGCCCGAUGAUGACGACGACGGUCGGGACAGGGCGAACUCGCCCAAUCUCAUCAGAGCCCCGAACAGCAGCUGCCCGGCGACGAGCUGAGACCCGUGCGCAGCAGCAGCGGUCGCUCGCCGGAUUCAGACAAGGAGUCGGCGGCGGCAAAGAUUUCCAGGAUUCAGGACUCGAUUGGGUCGUCGCGUAAGAAAUAGAAAAGAGAUAGGGCGGCGUUAGGACCAGACGCGUCGGCAGCCGACGCAGGACGAAGUAAAUGGCGGCUGAACGACUGGAGAGGAGGAGGCCGGAGCAGCGCCGCUCCCAGACGACAGCAGCCCGUCGGAUUUCGGACGAGGAUGCGGCCGCAGCAGCGACCUGGUAUUUGACGAUUAGGGCUCUGCGAUGAAGAGGAAAGGGCGGCGCUGGAAUAGACGCGUAGAAGAAUGACGCCGGUGAUAGCAGACGAUGGCUGGACGGCCGGAGUAGGCGGAACCGACCGGAUUUUGAGAGGAGCCGAGCGAACAGGCUGGAGAGGAAGGGGCUGGGCGGCGUCUGGUUCGAGUUUUUGAGAGAGGAGAGGGAUCGUGAAGCUGAGAACGGCGGCCGACCGUCGGAUUCACAGCAGGAGCAGCGGCGGAGCUCACGAGGCAGCCGUGAAUCGAGAGAGAGAGAUCGAUUGGAUUUUGAGCGAGAGAGAGAUCGGCUUUGAAGAAGAAGGAAGAGCGGUCCCCUUGAGAAUGAGAGAGAGAUCGAGAGUUUAGAAAGAGAGAGAUAGAGUGGGCUUGAUUUGGGCCUUUUCAUUUAAUUCUUUGGGCUUGAUUAAUUUUAAUUGUUUGGGCUUUCCUCUAAUUUAUGUGGGCCGAAAUUUUGAGCUUAUUUUUAAUGAAAUUGGGCUUCCAAUUUUAAUUGCUUGGGCUUUCAUAUUUAAAUUCGAAUUGGGCCAGUCUUUUAUUUAAUUGGCUCUUCUCAUUAUUUUUAUUGGGCUUGAAUUAAUUUAAGGAAUUGGGCUUUGUCUUUUAAUUCUUUGGGCUGCUGUAUCAUAUCAACUGAGCCGAGUUUUAUUUAAUUUUAAGCUCAGAAUAAUUCAUUCUAUUCUUGGGCUAAUUUUAAAUUAUGGACUGAAAUUUUAUUUAGUUGGGCCUUACAUGAUUUAUUUAUUUGAGCCCAACUAUUCAUUAUUUAAUCAUUUGGGCCAAGAUUUAUUUAAUUACUAAGCCCAAUGAAUUAUUUCAAUUGGACCUUUCAUUUUAGCUAUCCAGGCCCAUUUCUACUUAAUUAAUUAUUGGGCUACCUUAUGUUGAGCCUUUUAAUUAUUCGAACUCAUAACAUUUCAAAUUCUCAUUAUUAAGCCCGGUUGAUUAUGAGUUUAUAAAGCGAAUAAGCUGAAGUAUUUAAUUAUUUUCUAUCGACUACGAGGAGUGGGAUUUAUUUAAUCGACGGAUUAGAACACCCUGAAGAGAACGGAUUAAUUUUAGUUAAUUAUCCGGCUUCAUGAGACGAGACUUAGCUUUUGUUUAAAUCCGAUAGCCUGGAUUAACAAUAGAAAUUCCCUGAUUAUUAAGCCGAAAUAAUAAAUUAUGCAUAAGAGAGUCAUGCAUAUUUAUUUUACGCUUUCUCAUUAAUUGAGAAUUUUCCUCGAGGCAAUGUCUUAUUUUACAUUCUCGUGAUUAAGGUCAAACGAGAGAGUAAGAAUUACUCAAGGAGUCACAGUACCUUAACAAAACCUUGCUAUCAGGUGGGCAAUUUCUUACGCGUAAAUAAAAUGCUAUGCAAGUGUUAUGCUUUAAAAUGCAAAUUGGAUCUUAAGUGUGGUAUGCUUUAUUACGCUUAAAUGAGUUAAGCUUUAUUAUGCUGCACGUUAAAUGAUUUACGCUAUGCUAUUUAUACUAUUUACGCCUAUGUAAUUUACGCUUAUUUACGCUUGAAUGCUUUACGCUGAUAAGUUUAUGCCUGUGAUUGAUGCUUGCGUCUGUUGGGGGAGGCCUCCCUCAACAGUACGAUGCCGUGUCCGCUGAGGAGGGCCUUCCUCACGGCGCGAUGCCCGUGUCCGCUGAGAGAGGCCUCUCUCGCGGCGCGAUGCCAGUAUGCCAGUGUUACAGCGUCUAUUGGGGGAGGCCUCCCUCAAUAGUACGAUGCCGUGACCGCUGAGGGAGGCCCCCUUCACGGCGCGAUGCCCGUGUUCGUUGGGGAAGGCCUUCUCCACGACACGAUGCGUGUUGAUGAUUGUUAAUGAUGAAGAAUGCGCUCAUGCUGUUUAUGAAUAUGGAAAUGUUUAAUGAGCAAAGGAUUUGAAAGAAACUUAUGCCUCUUAUGCGAAGUUGUGUUUUGUUGUUGAUAUUAUGUUAUAUGCUUGGCACUGCCCACUAAGUACUCUUGUACUUAGCCCUUCGUAUGUUUAUGUUUGUGCAGGUUGAGCUGUGAUGGGCGAUGAAGUGUUGCUGAGUGGAGUUUUUGUCGAACUUAAAGUAGGCUCAGAAAGGAUACAUGUCUUCAUACAUGUAUCUCAGUUAUGCUUUCCGCUGUAAACACUGAUUAUUUCAGUUACACCUUCCGUUGCAAACUCUGAUAAUGUUUUAGCCAAGCCCCU